AUUGAACGCUGGCGGCAGGCCUAACACAUGCAAGUCGAGCGGAUGAAGGGAGCUUGCUCCUGGAUUCAGCGGCGGACGGGUGAGUAAUGCCUAGGAAUCUGCCUGGUAGUGGGGGAUAACGUCCGGAAACGGGCGCUAAUACCGCAUACGUCCUGAGGGAGAAAGUGGGGGAUCUUCGGACCUCACGCUACCAGAUGAGCCUAGGUCGGAUUAGCUAGUUGGUGGGGUAAAGGCCUACCAAGGCGACGAUCCGUAGCUGGUCUGAGAGGAUGAUCAGUCACACUGGAACUGAGACACGGUCCAGACUCCUACGGGAGGCAGCAGUGGGGAAUAUUGGACGAUGGGCGAAAGCCUGAUCCAGCCAUGCCGCGUGUGUGAAGAAGGUCUUCGGAUUGUAAAGCACUUUAAGUUGGGAGGAAGGGCAGUAAGUUAAUACCUUGCUGUUUUGACGUUACCAACAGAAUAAGCACCGGCUAACUUCGUG
rnacentral:rRNA from 1 species